AUUGAACGCUGGCGGCAUGCCUUACACAUGCAAGUCGAACGGCAGCACGGGAGCAAUCCUGGUGGCGAGUGGCGAACGGGUGAGUAAUGUAUCGGAACGUGCCCAGUCGUGGGGGAUAACGUAGCGAAAGCUACGCUAAUACCGCAUACGAUCUAUGGAUGAAAGCGGGGGACCGUAAGGCCUCGCGCGAUUGGAGCGGCCGAUAUCAGAUUAGGUAGUUGGUGGGGUAAAGGCCUACCAAGCCGACGAUCUGUAGCUGGUCUGAGAGGACGACCAGCCACACUGGGACUGAGACACGGCCCAGACUCCUACGGGAGGCAGCAGUGGGGAAUUUUGGACAAUGGGCGCAAGCCUGAUCCAGCAAUGCCGCGUGCAGGAUGAAGGCCUUCGGGUUGUAAACUGCUUUUGUACGGAGCGAAAAGGCUCUCUCUAAUACAGGGGGCUCAUGACGGUACCGUAAGAAUAAGCACCGGCUAACUACGUGCCAGCCGCCGCCGUAA
rnacentral:rRNA from 1 species